UACGUAGGGUGCGAGCGUUAAUCGGAAUUACUGUGCGUAAAGCGUGCGCAGGCGGCUUUGCAAGACAGAUGUGAAAUCCCCGGGCUCAACCUGGGAACUGCAUUUGUGACUGCAAGGCUAGAGUACGGCAGAGGGGGAUGGAAUUCCGCGUGUAGCAGUGAAAUGCGUAGAUAUGCGGAGGAACACCAAUGGCGAAGGCAAUCCCCUGGGCCUGUACUGACGCUCAUGCACGAAAGCGUGGGGAGCAAACAGG
rnacentral:rRNA from 1 species